GAACGCUCGUAGCAAUACGGGAGUGGCAGACGGGUGAGUAACGCGUGGGAACCUUCCCAGUGGUACGGAAUAGCUCAGGGAAACUUGAGGUAAUACCGUAUAAGCCCCUAGGGGGAAAGAUUUAUCGCCAUUGGAUGGGCCCGCGUCGGAUUAGCUAGUUGGUGGGGUAAUGGCUCACCAAGGCGACGAUCCGUAGCUGGUCUGAGAGGAUGAUCAGCCACACUGGGACUGAGACACGGCCCAGACUCCUACGGGAGGCAGCAGUGGGGAAUAUUGGACAAUGGGCGCAAGCCUGAUCCAGCCAUGCCGCGUGAGUGACGAAGGCCUUAGGGUUGUAAAGCCCUUUCGGCGGGGAAGAUAAUGACGGUACCCGCAGAAGAAGCCCCGGCUAACUUCGUG
rnacentral:rRNA from 1 species